UACGACCACAUCACGUUCAAACACCGGUUCCUGUACGAUCAGCGAAGUUAAGCAACGUUGAGCCUGGUCAGUACCUAGAUAGGUGACCGCUUGGGAAUACGAGGUGUUGUAAG